rnacentral:tRNA from 1 species
UCCCAGGUGGCUCAGAUGGUAAAGCGUCUGCCUACAAUGCGGGAGACCCGGGUUAGAUCCCUGGAUUGGGAA